CCGCAAGAUGCACUAACAUUCCUUCUGAUUUGUAAAUGAGCAUCAUUUGUAAAUGAGCGAUUACAAAAAAGUACCAUGAUUUUACCAUGGGGGAGAGCAUUCAGUUUUAGGUAAAUAAAAACGGAAAGUUUACUCUCAGUGAGGGAAUCCACCUGACAUCCGAGUGAAGCUGAUUAAAUGCGCUCUGCAAUAACAUGCUCUUGAUAAUUGUCAAUAAAAUAAAACGUCAUAUACAAAACACAUCAAAUAAAGUUUUAUACAUGGAAAAUAUCUCGUGUUUCGAGCACUCACGUGAUAGGUGCCUAUGCCGUACUGUACUGUACUGUAAACAAAGCUACAAUAAAUUACCCAGACAGCACGUUCAGUCUUACCGACGUUGGCAAUUGGAGGGCACCAGCGGCAAAGUGUCGGUUGGGGUUUUUCCCCUGCCCACAGAAUAAAAGUAGGUGGGUAAACGAUCGGCGCGAUGAGUCUGCAGCCCACUGCUCUCUGGAGAUCGGCGGAGGAACCGUGAGCAACCUUUUUGCAGAUCGCGCUUUUUUUCUUCACUAGAUCUACGCAGUUGUUGGACCACAUCAAGCCGGCAGUGUAAGCGCGAAGGUAAAUAUGAUGAAGGCAUGGCUUGGUGGCCUCCAGACCGCAUUUCGGCCACGGAAGUGUUGUUGUUCCCCAGUGGUUCUAACCUGUUAGCAACUCAGAAAGUUUAUUAAAAUGGGUUCCCAGCAUCAAAAUGUCUGGUUGUUGCGUUUGGUUGCACUUAUAAUAUACUAAUAUACGUAUAUAUGUAUCUGGCAACUUUAUAUUUGGCCAUCUGCUAACGUCUUCUAUCCACUCCACUAUAGUACACGGAUCUGGUAGAUUUGUUGAAAAAGUCGAUGAGUCAACUGCGUGCACCUACGUUGCCACAUCAUCAUUGUGUACAAAGACUAAAAGGGUCUACAAAGACUCAUACAAAAUACUCCAAAGUUUUUUCAAGAGGACAUCACCCAACCCAUCUAAAGGAUGGAAACAAUACUCUUGUUGAAUACUACAUGAGACAAACCAUCGUGACUUAGAUCACCAUCAACACCAUCAUCAUCCCCUGCAUCGUGCCCUUCAUCAGACACCCAAAAUGCACCACAAACAUCACAGGCGAAAAAGAAGAAAACGCACAACAAACCUUCCAAAACACCCUCCUACCUAUGGCUGGAAACAACAUAACA